UACGAAGGGAGCUAGCGUUGUUCGGAAUUACUGGGCGUAAAGGGCGCGUAGGCGGUUUGGCAAGUUGGAUGUGAAAGCCCUGGGCUCAACCCGGGAAUUGCAUUCAAGACUGCCUUGCUUGAAUUCGGUAGAGGUUGGUAGAAUUUCCAGUGUAGAGGUGAAAUUCGUAGAGAUUGGAAAGAAUACCCGUGGCGAAGGCGGCCAACUGGACCGACAUUGACGCUGAGGCGCGAAAGCGUGGGGAGCAAACAGG
rnacentral:rRNA from 1 species